GACGCCUGCAGGUCUACCUUGGGUCUCCGAGUGGACUGAAGGAAGCCCUCCAACUACUGUCCGAAAGCUGCUCCUGGAUUUGCAUACAGUGUAGAGUGUAGUAUCAGCACAACCGACCCCAUGUGCUGGUAAGUCUCUUGGUUAACUAUUUCAAUUUUAUAAUUCCUCUUUCUUAUGUCAGAUUGGUGUGAAUAAUUACCCGGAUCAUAUAAAAAGGAAAAAAUUUAGGAAAGUCUUCAACAAUUCAUUUUUCCUUUGAGAUUAAUAAUUUUCUAUAUGAAGUCUUCUAUUACUGAUAUUAAUGGUUUAAUUUACUAAUGUUGAAGAUUUUAUUAGCUUUGAUAGCUGGCUUACUACGUUCUAAUAUUUUUUUUACAGAAUGCAGAGCAAUUUCCUUAAAACCCCUUCGUGGAUAAAGUAUGAAGAUUGCGUGUUUUUCUUGCUCUAUUAUCUUUGGUGUGUUUCGAACAAAAUUUUAUUUAAUUUUUAUUUGUAAAUUGAUUUAUGUGAAAUACAAAA
rnacentral:lncRNA from 1 species